rnacentral:snoRNA from 1 species
UGCUUAUGAUGAAUAAAAAAAAGAAAAGAGUAGUGGACAGGAGUGAUUUCUGAGAACUUUUCUGAGGCA